AUUCUGGUUGAUCCUGCCAGUAGUUAUAUGCUUGUCUCAAAGAUUAAGCCAUGCAUGUCUAAGUACACACGAAUUAAAAGUGAAACCGCAAAAGGCUCAUUAUAUCAGUUAUGGUUCCUUAGAUCGUUAACAGUUACUUGGAUAACUGUGGUAAUUCUAGAGCUAAUACAUGCAAUUAAAACAUGAACCUUAUGGGACAUGUGCUUUUAUUAGGCUAAAACCAAGCGAUCGCAAGAUCGUUAUAUUGGUUGAACUCUAGAUAACAUGCAGAUCGUAUGGUCUUGUACCGACGACAGAUCUUUUAAAUGUCUGCCCUAUCAACUUUUGAUGGUAGUAUCUAGGACUACCAUGGUUGCAACGGGUAACGGGGAAUCAGGGUUCGAUUCCGGAGAGGGAGCCUGAGAAACGGCUACCACAUCUAAGGAAGGCAGCAGGCGCGUAAAUUACCCACUCCCAGCUCGGGGAGGUAGUGAAG
rnacentral:ncRNA from 1 species